rnacentral:lncRNA from 1 species
UGAACCGAGAAUGGUGGCACCCUUGUCUAGCCAUAACGUUAGGUGACUGAUAAGAUCAAAACUACCGGUAAGCCACUGACCAGCAGGAACAAAAAGCUUGGCACCGCCUUUAUCAGAGAAAGAGUUGAGGUAGAACAAAGCAUUCUGAAAGGCUUUAGUGUUUAGAGUGACACCAUCUCCAACAUCUAUGCAAACGUUAGUUGAUGAAUCUGCAUUAAGAAAAAUGAUAUUAACUAGCCUAUAACGGAUACAAGUCAGUCCACUUAUCACCAAUUGGUUUUAGAUUAAACUUUACGGGUAAAGUUUGCAAUGAAACUCUCACCUGGAUCAACUCCGUCUGUGUUUGGAGAGUCAAGAGGAGCCAAGAUUGUGAGAUUCUUUACAAGAACAUCUCUGUUCAGACAACCAAAAACAAAUCCAUAUCAGAACACAAGAUUAGCUGAAGUCAAAUCUCAUUAGAUAAGUUAGAACUGACCUGCAAUAAACAGGAUGAAUGUUCCAAAAGGGUGAAUUCAAGAAGGUGAGGUUAGAGAUGAUAAGACCAGUAGUGUUUAUAAGCUCAACAAUAUGAGGUCUUGUAUAGUUUAGCUCUCCAUGUCUAAACCAAUCCCACCAUACACUUCCUUGACCAUCUAUUGUCCCGUUCUCCCCUAUAACCAUAAUAUCAUCAGACUAAUAUCAACCAUUCAAAAACUAAUCAUCCAUACAGUAUCAUCAGACUAACAUCAACGGUUCAAAACACGAAGCGUCCAUAUAAGAUGUUAUAUUAGUUAGUACCUGUGAUGACUACGUCUGUGAGGUUCUGACCAUAUAUAAGACUCCUGUGUCUUCUACCAGGCAACUCUCUUCCUCGUCCAUAUGAUGGUAAUGGAUCAACCACAGGCCAAUUCUCCGAGCUCUGAGAAAGACAUUUAAGUUUUAUAAGUGAUGUCAUUGUUAUAUAAUAACAAAAUGUAUUCUUGUGAAAGACUUGCCGUUGAACCGAGAAUGGUGGCACCCUUGUCUAGCCAUAACGUUAGGUGACUGAUAAGAUCAAAACUACCGGUAAGCCACUGACCAGCAGGAACAAAAAGCUUGGCACCGCCUUUAUCAGAGAAAGAGUUGAGGUAGAACAAAGCAUUCUGAAAGGCUUUAGUGUUUAGAGUGACACCAUCUCCAACAGCUCCAAACUCUGUGAUUGAGACGCUGUGAGGCCGGUGAAGAAUCACCGAGUUUGAAUAUUCACAAUGCA